rnacentral:lncRNA from 1 species
UUAAUGUUUAGAUUAGUUUUAAAUUACUUUAAACAAUCCAAUUUACAAUUUUAAUCAAUUUAAAUAUACAUUAACCAAAGCCCAUGUCCAUAACCAAUUAUCCAAAUCAUCAUCCAAUAAUCCAUUUCUAAUUACUAACCAUGUAGAUAUCCAAUUUAAUUGCAACCCAUAUCCAAACCAUUUAUCCAAAUCCAAACAAAAUCUAUAUCCUAUUUUGUCCAAACCAAUCAUAAACCCAAAACCAGGACCCAAUUCCAUUGUGUCAACCCAUUUACCAUUAAACCUUUUACAUCUCAGUAAAGCAAUUUGAGAAAGGUAUCAGAAUAGAGUAUCUGCAUAAACCAAGUAUAUAUCCACAACAUCCAAAACGGCGAUGAAAACCAAAACCAACGGCAACAAAAAGCCAGUUGCACCUGCAUAUUCACAUAGCUCACAAGUCAGGACAAUAAAAACCAAAACCUCAC